AGAGCGGCCACUGGGGGGUGCCCGGAUUCCAGGCGGGGAAGCCGAAUUUGCACACAGGCAGAAAAUUCAAGACGGGGACUGAGACUCCAUGGGAAGAAGGGCCAAGUAGGGCGUAGGAAACGGUGACUCUCCCCCACAUUCCUGGGAGCAGGAGCCUAAAGGGGGAGCACAACUGGGGAGCACUCUGGGUGAAGGGAAUAUAGUGGGGCCGGGAAGGGAAGCAAGAGGCUUGUGGGCAGGUGAGUGCACACCACAGGGCCCAGCGCCUCUUCCAGGCCAAGUUCAGGGGCUUGCACUUGGCUAGAGCCUGACUCCGCCAGAGCCUGACUCUGCCACUCCCCUCCCCGUCCCAGGAGCAAGCGGCUGAGAUCAUCACUCACCCUUGCUUCCGCAGAGGUCUGCCAGAGCUUUCUAAACGUCAUGGAAACCCUCUUCACGGGCACGCUUUCCAGUUACGAGGCCGCCGUUGAACCUUUCUUGCCAGACGCGGACAUGAAAGACGCGGGGAUCCAGCUGAAGAGGCUGGUGGACACGCUUCCUCAGAAGGCCAAGGAGAGCAUCUUAAAGCUCACGGACAAAAUCGUAAGAAGCCCACUGUGUGCUUAGGAUUCAGAAGCUGAAGGUCUCCAGCCGCCGAAGUCCCUGCUGCUCCCCAGACGCUUCCCUCACUGUGUCCCCAGCCUGGCUCCCUUCAAUAAAGCACAAGCAUCUCA